GUAUUAUUAAUGUUUUUUUUUUUUUUUUUUUUUUCCCUCAUUCUUGUCCCCUAAAAUAAAAGCUGCAAUGUGUUGGUUAGCAAAGGGGGGGAGGAAUGGGUACAUCUGCAGUGCUAGUACUUACUCAAGUAUUAGUAAUGGUUUUGUUUUAUUUUUUUUUAUU
rnacentral:ribozyme from 12 species